CAACAGAAUGGAAUGGAAAUGAGGCCCACAUUUAGGUACUGGUCCAAUGUUGUUUAUUGAUGCCUGGCCGUUGACUUUCCUCUAUAUGGAGAUUCAGGGACUCAGCUUCUGUCCAUCUUGUGGCUCAUCAUUUCCUAGGGCCUUGAAGUACUUUGCCUCCAACCAGGGGAAGGGGAAAGAAAGAACAGGGAAGGCCUUCUUUGAAAACAACCUUUACCAUUCCGCAAUUGUAGACCCUGGGGUACCAGCUGUCUCAAGGAAAGCCCUUCUACAGCCAAG